AAGUUUUUAUUCAACGUAAUAUUAUCAACAGGUUCAGAUAAGAAUAUAAGUUUUUCUCAUGGGAGAAACUCCAUCUGAGUCUCUAAUUAAAUAACUUUUGUAUAGUUCCUUUUCUUCUCUGCACAAAAGAUCUUUUUUCUGUCCAUUCUUGCCCUCCUUCUUUCUUUGUUGAUACUAUUUACUCCCAAGCCUGCCUCUGAACUCUGUCUAAUUAGCUCUUGAUAGAUCUGCUGCCCUGUUUCCACAAACAUUUAAUUCUGCCGUCAGUCCCAUUUACAUUACAGCAUGUUGCAUUGUCUUUUACCAGCCUAAUUUUGUUUGAGUGAAUGUAAAUCCCAUUAAGCAGUCACCUAUUAGACUAUGGCAUAUAAACUCCAAAAGCCUCUUUAUUACAAGAGUGAACAUAAGGCCCAAUUGAUAAAAGAUUUCUGGGGCAUUUCCAUUUGUGGUGUACUUCAAAUAUUCUGUCUGCUUUAAACUUAGCUCAUGUUUUUGAAGUAUUUGACAGACUAUUUGAGUAUCUUUUUGCCUGUGUAUUCCAUAGCAUGAAAUACAUAACCAUCAUUUGCUUGUUGUCUUUAGAAGUUUACUUAUACCUAAACAUAAGUUAAAUAUGUAUUUCUUCCUCUUUAGUUAUUUUAUUUUUCCUUUGUAACCUGACCACAUUAUUUUUGAGCACUGCAUAAAGGUGUUUACAAAUAACAGGAUGGCUGGCAGAAUCUUCUCGGAAAAGCUCUUUAUGAAUACUAAAUAAUUGUCCAGAAGUUCAGUAAGCCUCAGUGUUUUAAGCUGAACUUUCUGGAGAGAGGUAAGACAUAGCAUCUUGACAGGCAGCCCUUCAAAUGGCAAGUAGCUAUGGGCAUCAGAGACAGACAGGUUUCUCUUAUAACCUUAAUGUAAUUUGAUAGCUCAAAACGAAUAAAAACAAGAUGUAAGAUAUCAUUAGAAGCCUUGGAAAGACCAGGUGGUCUGAUAUUUACAUCAAUAUGAUCAAUAUACUCAAUCAGAUUAGUGCCAGGUACCAGUUUUAAAUGAAGGCUCAGUUAUAGACUUUCGCCAAAACAGAGAUAAUCAUUCAGCACUAUGGUCACAUAAUCACGUGGUUGAAGGUAAGGGUGAGAAUGGCUCUCUUUCCAUUUCCUCCUGGUAAUUAACUCAGAAAGACAUCCAUGAAGUGCAAACCCUCACACACAAAAUUAUUUCUCACCCCUGCAGGCUUGUCAAAGCCAAUAUUUCAGAAAAGCACAGGUUGCUGAAGGGGACUGUGAUUUUUUUUUUUUUUGCCUGCUGUGAGUCCCUAAGGACAACAAACAUUCUAAGAGAGACUGUAGCCAAAAUUGCUAAUAACUUCACACAGUUCUUUUGCCAUAAUGACAAAAUUCAAGGGAAGACUGAAUAGAGUAGUGGGUUAGGUGGUAAGCCAGUUAUUUGAGCAGGAAUGAAAAUAUAUAUGGUCCCAAAUGCUAGUUACGAAGUCAACCUGGAUUAAAAAUCUAAAAAAUGAUUAUGACAAAUAUAUGGAAUGCAAAGUCAAUAACAGAUAUUCAGUUUGUUAAAAAUGAGGACUUACAAUAUUUUAAGAGGAGGAAAAAUUAUAAAAAAAUUGAGCAUCAAAAAUUGAUUUAUAAAGUAAGAAUUUGCAUCAAUACCUAGCCAUACCUACAAUAUACAGCUUGGUAUUCGAGUAGAAUAGAUUUUAUAUAACUCUAGACUCUCUAAUAUUCAGGCUCAAAAAUACCCAGUAAUAGAUAUCAAAACAAAUUUCUUGGAUGAUAGGCCCCUUAUUUCUUUCUACAUAUGUUUUGAUUUGGGUCAAUGGCUUGGCUAGAUAUUAUAUGUAUGAUUUGACAUGAUUGUUUAUCUUUCUGUCCUUUACAUAGCAUUAAGGACAUUUAUUCGACACAGAUAUAGUCAAAUGUCAUAAUGGGCAACAUGAGUUACACGUUGGCUCCCUUGAGUGUCUCCUCAUAAUCACUUCAAAUCUUACUGAGACCGAGAUUUCAAAGCAAGAGGUACAUAUUAAUUCAGGGUUACUUGUUAACAAAACAGGCAGCUAACUACUAUUACAUUGGUUCUUACGGUUUACUGAAGCAUUAAACAUUAACAUUAUUAUUAUGAAAUACAACCAAUAUCAGAAGGAAAUUAUUUUUUAAAACAGUACAAAUAUUUUAAGUGGGCCUACAAGAAACCUUAGUGAUUCAUAAUAAGUAUAUUGAACGAAUUUGAAAUUCAGUGAACACAUCAAAGUUUCUAGACCCACAUAAGUUUCUGUACUACCCAUAACAUUUAUAAAAGCAACUUCAGUAACUUUUUCAAAAAGGUAUCUCUGUGUUAUAUCUGGACACAAUACAUAUAAAAUAUAAAUAUAGAUGGGUUGCAUAACCUCUCUGAGCCUCAGUUUUCUCUUUUACAAUGGAGAAAAUGCAUAUUAAAGUUGUUCAGAUUAAAUGAGAUGAUUACAUAAGUGCUGACUUUUUUUUUUUUUUUUUUUUUUUUUUGACACAGAGUCUCGCUUUGUUACCUAGCUGGAGUGCAAUGGGGCAAUCUCGACUCACUGCAGCCUUGACCUCCUGAGUUCACACAAUCCUCCUGCCUCAGCUCCCCAAGUAGCUGGGACUAUAGGCGGGUGGCACCAUGAGGGUUAAUUUUUUUUUUUUUUUUUUUUUUUGUAGAGACGGGAUUUCCGCCAUGUUGCCCACGCUGUUCCCCAACUUCUGAACUCAAGCGAUCCGCCAGCCUCUGCCUCCCAAAGUACUGGGAUUACGGGCGUGAGCCACCGUGCACAGCCAGUGACUUCUUAAUAUAUAUCCUAAAGCGCAAGAGGCACUGGAUAUUUGUGGAGUCUUGAUAACCACCAGGGAGGGGCCCAAGGUAGGAGAGAACAAUUGUUCUGAGAGACAAGUAACCAUAAACAACGCGCUGACACAACGACCUUGCUCCACAGGUAGCCCAAAUGGCACAACCUCGAUCAGCAUGUAGCCCCCUCCAGAAGACCUUAUAAAACUUCCCUCCAGCCCCUGCCUCUUUGCAGACAGCCCCUUCUCUGUAGUGCUACAUAUUGCACCCUUGCAAUGAAUUUUCAUACUUUCUCUAAUAAAUGUGCCUUUAUUUUUCUCCCCCUACAACUGUCUUGGUAAAUUCCUUUACCACCGGCAACACCAGCCCCAGCCAGUCACACUUGUAAGAGUACUCAGCAGUGAGCAACACUUAUUUUUCACAGAGCUAUAGGUGAGAAGACAGACAGAAACCCAUAUGUAAGUAUAACUUUUGAUAAUUUUUGUCACAAACAGUAGUAGCCAUAGUUUUGCCUCUCAAAUAUGCUUUUUGUUCACCUUUCUAUUAACAUAAUUUUUUAUGUUUUAAAAUGAAUCUGCUCCAAAAGAUUCUUGUGAACUGAUCCCUCUGCCUACUCCAAACAGGGGGUAACCUAACAGGCUUCAUCGCUAGUCAAUGAGAUGACCUUAUUUCCCUAUCAAUAGUGAUAGGAGGUAUCCAGUAAGAGGCGUGCUCUUUGCAAUAAAAACACAACUAUGGAUAUAAUAUGAAAAAAAAUAACUGCUUUGAACCUUUUCUGUCACAAUUCCAGAAAAGACUGCCUAAGAAUUAGGCCAAUAAAAAAGAACGACAUUAUGUCCUUUGCAGGGACAUGGAUGGAGUUGGAAGCCAUUAUCCUGAGCAAACUAACAUGAAAUACUUAACAUGUUUUCACUUAUAAGUGGGAGUUAAAUGAUGAAAACACACGGACACAUAGAGGGCAACAACACGCACUGGGGCCUUUUGGAGGGUGGAGCAUGGAAGGAGGGAGAGGAUCAGUAAAAACACCUAAUGGGCACGAGGCUUAAUACCUGGGCUAUGAAAUAAUCUGUACAACAGACCUCCGUUACAAAAGUUUACCUGUGUAACAAACCUACACUUGUACCCCAGAACUUAAAAUAAAUGUUAGAAAAAGAAAAGGAAUGAGAUGAGAAGAGAGAAAAUCAGAGUUGAGAUUUUAAGAUAGUAAGAGUGUCCUGCUGACAUGAGACAUGGUUUCAGCCCUGGAUCUAUCUGUGCUUAAGGCCUAAUAUGCUCCUGGACUUUCAUUUUGUGAGUCAAGAAAAUCCCUUUGCUUGUGCUAGUUUAGACUAGGUUUCAGUGUCCACAAUGCUAAUACCGCGAGGCACACGGGACAAUGGCAAAAGGAGAAUAGGUUAGUGUUUCAAGGAGAGAAAAUAUUACGAGGGCUCUAUCUAAGGAAAAUGUUAGUGUGCUUGAGGAACCACGAACAUACUAUUAACAUCACUGUCACUACUACUGAGACAGCCAAGUAAAAAGGGCUCCCUGGCAGAAGCUCCCACAGGCCUGAGCACUGGGAGGAAUGCGCACUGGGGUGGAGCCUCAGGAAGUUCACGCCUUUUGCAGUGGGGAGGAGCCUGGCCUCUCCUGUUGCAGCAUAGUAACCUGGAAUUCAGUGUGCGAGGUGGAAAACUGGCUAGCCGGCUUCUCGCUUUGCUGAUAGUCCUUCUUUCCCUUUUCAUCCAAUAAACCCUGUCCUGGUCACCCUUCAAAGUGUCUGUGAGCCUAAUUUGUCAUGGUUGUGUGACGAGAACCCCGUUUUUAGCUCAACUAAAGACAAAGUUCUACAACACCACUAUAACCCUUUAUAGCUUCUAGAUCUUGAUCUAAGGCCCUGGGAAUGAUACUCCUACCUAAAAAGAGUUUCCCACCAAGACUACCUGUUUAUUUCCAAUUUGUAUCUCAUUUAAUCUAUUGUGCUAUCAAAUGCAAGGACAUUUUUCUAGAUGCAGAUGUUAUAUAUUAAAAGAAAGGGAGGAAAGAGAAAGGCUUGGUUCUGGAAGAGGAUAGAGAGUGUGAAGCCUUGUAAGCCACCAGACUGACAGAAAGCCGUGGGCAACCCUAGGAGACUGAGAAAAAGAAACCUCCUGACAACACAGCCAAGCAGAACACCAGAAAGAACUACCUACGCCCCAAGUUUCCCUAAGGCCAGCCGUGGCUACAUAAUUCGUCAUAUACUAUAAAUGAAAUGGGUGUAGUUUGAAAUAUUGCUUUCCACUAAUAUUAAUUUCAAGAAUCUACUUUUUUAAAAUGAAUAUAAUAACUUUGAAAUCUGUUUUUGCUGCUUUUCCUGAUUUUUUAAAUACUCAUACAAUAGUCUGGUAACUGAAAUUCUUGGUUAGUAAAUAUUUAAUCCAGAUUUUAUAAUUGCCUAAAUCUCUUUAUAGGUUAUUUCUUGCAAUAUUUCAAGAUCCUGAGUCAGCCAUGCUUAUACAAGCAAACUUUUAUUUACUGUGUUUCUUUGUGCAUCUCUGGUGUCUAUUAACAUAGUACCUGAAUGAGACAGUUUAAAUUCAAAGGAAGUUUUUGCCUGAAGGAGAACAGAAGAAUUGGGCUCAAUGGGAAUUCUAUAUGAGUAUCUGAGGGCAGAAUUUAGGCUACUGGAAGGGCAGUUAGUAGCUAGGGAUUUAAACCACUACAACAAAGUUUUAAGGAAGAAAAGAGGUGGCAAUAUUAUUGGGGCUUUUUUGUUCCCUUACUUUCCCCAAGUAGAAUUAUUUUGAAAAAACAAAAAACUUAAUUGCACAGAGUAUUCUCAAAUUAUGUCAUCCUGAAAUCUGUCUUGAAUGUCAUUCAGAUUCUCUAUAGUACAGCUUUUAUAGAUUUAACUGAUACCAAAUCUUUCAGCCUUGCAGAAGUAAUAUGAAAAUAUAAGGAAAACAACUCCUCUAUUCGUAGCAUAUGUCUAAAUACUUUAUUAUAAAAAUGUCAUAUUUAAGUUUAAGAGCCAAUAAUUUAUAUAGUAAAAUUCCUAGUAUUUUUCAGCAGAAAAAAGAAAUAUAACACACACUUAUUUCCCCAGCAUUAAAUUAGCAUGUUUCAGCCUUAAUAUUCUCAUAUUUGUAUUCUUUUAACUACAGAAAUCAUACAUGUAGUUUUAUAUUUUUUAAAGGCAAAGAGUGGGGAAUAAAACAAUGUUCUUUUUGACAUCUGUAGAUUGUUCUGUUUCCUUCUUUUCCUGUCCACAAAGCCACCACUGUAAGUCUGACCAGUAUCGUUCCAACGACUUCUACGUGUACAGAUAUAUAUGUAUACACACAGUAGUACAUAGCAUUGUGUGAUAUAUAUAUGAAGUAGUCUUUACCACAUCAAAAGACAAAGUGAAAGAAAUUACAAAUUUAAAAUCCAGAAUGUAAACUAAAAAUUCUAGAUUCAGACUUCAGUGGAAGGAAGAAAUAAUCUCUCUUGUUUAAUAGCAAUAGAUUCUGUGCCCUAGGGAAGGGAAGCUCCUUAGGGCACAUAGCUAAUUAGUGAAAGAGUUCUAGUGGGACAAGAUCUCUUAUUUUCUAGUGCAAUGCAUUUUCCAUAGCAACAGGCCAAUAAUCGCUAAGUCACGUAUCACAUACUAUACUAUAUUUCUUUUCGUGUGUGUGUGUGUGUGCGUGUGUGCACGUACACAUGCAAGUGAUGUGUGAGUAGAGAAAUCACAUAUUGGAUUACUUAAGUUAAAAAAGAAAAUAUGUGACAUUCUGUUCAAUGUAAAAAAACAAAUAACGAACAUAUACCAUGCAGUAGGCAUUAUGCCAGCCAGUGUAAGAGCAAAGAAAAUCAAAGGAGAAAAAAAAAUGUCUAUUCUCAUUGGGCUUAUAGUUUAACGGAACAAGAUUGAAAAACACAGCCACAAUGAUUGUGAGUGUGUGUUUUAGUGUGUAAAAAAUAUUAAUUUAGUUAAAAGUUACACAAGACCCCAGAGACAAGGCAACUGUUUCCAUACCUAUGUAUGUUUUCUAUGGCUACUUCUUCCAAAUAUGGCCUCUACCAACACACAUUGCCCAAUAAAGUAGGGAACUUACUAUGGGAAAAGGAGCUGU
rnacentral:lncRNA from 10 species